AACGAACGCUGGCGGCAUGCCUAACACAUGCAAGUCGAACGAGACCUUCGGGUCUAGAGGCGCACGGGUGCGUAACGCGUGGGAACCUGCCCUUAGGUUCGGAAUAACUCCCCGAAAGGGGUGCUAAUACCGGAUAAUGUCUUCGGACCAAAGAUUUAUCGCCUUUGGAUGGGCCCGCGUUGGAUUAGCUAGUUGGUAGGGUAAAAGCCUACCAAGGCGACGAUCCAUAGCUGGUCUGAGAGGAUGAUCAGCCACACUGGGACUGAGACACGGCCCAGACUCCUACGGGAGGCAGCAGUGGGGAAUAUUGGACAAUGGGCGAAAGCCUGAUCCAGCAAUGCCGCGUGAGUGAUGAAGGCCUUAGGGUUGUAAAGCCCUUUUACCCGGGAUGAUAAUGACAGUACCGGGAGAAUAAGCUCCGGCUAACUCCGUG
rnacentral:rRNA from 1 species